UACGGGGGGGGCAAGCGUUGUUCGGAAUUACUGGGCGUAAAGGGCUCGUAGGCGGCCAACUAAGUCCGACGUGAAAUCCCAAGGCUUAACCUUGGAACUGCGUCGGAUACUGGAUGGCUUGAAUUCGGGAGAGGGAUGCAGAAUUCCAGGUGUAGCGGUGAAAUGCGUAGAUAUCUGGAGGAAUACCGGUGGCGAAGGCGGCAUCCUGGACCGACAUUGACGCUGAUGAGCGAAAAGCUAGGGGAGCAAACGGGG
rnacentral:rRNA from 1 species